UAAUACGGAGGGUGCAAGCGUUAUCCGGAUUCACUGGGUUUAAAGGGUGCGUAGGUGGGCAGGUAAGUCAGUGGUGAAAUCCCCGAGCUUAACUUGGGAACUGCCGUUGAUACUAUCUGUCUUGAAUACUGCGGAGGUAAGCGGAAUAUGUCAUGUAGCGGUGAAAUGCUUAGAGAUGACAUAGAACACCAAUUGCGAAGGCAGCUUGCUACACAGUAAUUGACACUGAGGCACGAAAGCGUGGGGAGCAAACAGG
rnacentral:rRNA from 1 species